UUAAGUUAUUAAGGGCGCACGGUGGAUGCCUUGGCACUAGAAGCCGAUGAAGGACGUUACUAACGACGAUAUGCUUUGGGGAGCUGUAAGUAAGCUUUGAUCCAGAGAUUUCCGAAUGGGGAAACCCAGCAUGAGUUAUGUCAUGUUAUCGAUAUGUGAAUACAUAGCAUAUCAGAAGGCACACCCGGAGAACUGAAACAUCUUAGUACCCGGAGGAAGAGAAAGAAAAUUCGAUUCCCUUAGUAGCGGCGAGCGAAACGGGAAGAGCCCAAACCAACAAGCUUGCUUGUUGGGGUUGUAGGACACUCUAUACGGAGUUACAAAGGACGACAUUAGACGAAUCAUCUGGAAAGAUGAAUCAAAGAAGGUAAUAAUCCUGUAGUCGAAAAUGUUGUCUCUCUUGAGUGGAUCCUGAGUACGACGGAGCACGUGAAAUUCCGUUGGAAUCUGGGAGGACCAUCUCCUAAGGCUAAAUACUCUCUAGUGACCGAUAGUGAACCAGUACCGUGAGGGAAAGGUGAAAAGCACCCCGGAAGGGGAGUGAAAUAGAACCUGAAACCGUGUGCUUACAAGUAGUCAGAGCCCGUUAAUGGGUGAUGGCGUGCCUUUUGUAGAAUGAACCGGCGAGUUACGAUUUGAUGCAAGGUUAAGCAGUAAAUGUGGAGCCGUAGCGAAAGCGAGUCUGAAUAGGGCGUUUAGUAUUUGGUCGUAGACCCGAAACCAGGUGAUCUACCCUUGGUCAGGUUGAAGUUCAGGUAACACUGAAUGGAGGACCGAACCGACUUACGUUGAAAAGUGAGCGGAUGAACUGAGGGUAGCGGAGAAAUUCCAAUCGAACCUGGAGAUAGCUGGUUCUCUCCGAAAUAGCUUUAGGGCUAGCCUCAAGUGAUGAUUAUUGGAGGUAGAGCACUGUUUGGACGAGGGGCCCCUCUCGGGUUACCGAAUUCAGACAAACUCCGAAUGCCAAUUAAUUUAACUUGGGAGUCAGAACAUGGGUGAUAAGGUCCGUGUUCGAAAGGGAAACAGCCCAGACCACCAGCUAAGGUCCCAAAAUAUAUGUUAAGUGGAAAAGGAUGUGGCGUUGCCCAGACAACUAGGAUGUUGGCUUAGAAGCAGCCAUCAUUUAAAGAGUGCGUAAUAGCUCACUAGUCGAGUGACACUGCGCCGAAAAUGUACCGGGGCUAAACAUAUUACCGAAGCUGUGGAUUGUCCUUUGGACAAUGGUAGGAGAGCGUUCUAAGGGCGUUGAAGCAUGAUCGUAAGGACAUGUGGAGCGCUUAGAAGUGAGAAUGCCGGUGUGAGUAGCGAAAGACGGGUGAGAAUCCCGUCCACCGAUUGACUAAGGUUUCCAGAGGAAGGCUCGUCCGCUCUGGGUUAGUCGGGUCCUAAGCUGAGGCCGACAGGCGUAGGCGAUGGAUAACAGGUUGAUAUUCCUGUACCACCUAUAAUCGUUUUAAUCGAUGGGGGGACGCAGUAGGAUAGGCGAAGCGUGCGAUUGGAUUGCACGUCUAAGCAGUAAGGCUGAGUAUUAGGCAAAUCCGGUACUCAUUAAGGCUGAGCUGUGAUGGGGAGAAGACAUUGUGUCUUCGAGUCGUUGAUUUCACACUGCCGAGAAAAGCCUCUAGAUAGAAAAUAGGUGCCCGUACCGCAAACCGACACAGGUAGUCAAGAUGAGAAUUCUAAGGUGAGCGAGCGAACUCUCGUUAAGGAACUCGGCAAAAUGACCCCGUAACUUCGGGAGAAGGGGUGCUCUUUAGGGUUAACGCCCAGAAGAGCCGCAGUGAAUAGGCCCAAGCGACUGUUUAUCAAAAACACAGGUCUCUGCUAAACCGUAAGGUGAUGUAUAGGGGCUGACGCCUGCCCGGUGCUGGAAGGUUAAGAGGAGUGGUUAGCUUCUGCGAAGCUACGAAUCGAAGCCCCAGUAAACGGCGGCCGUAACUAUAACGGUCCUAAGGUAGCGAAAUUCCUUGUCGGGUAAGUUCCGACCCGCACGAAAGGCGUAACGAUUUGGGCACUGUCUCAACGAGAGACUCGGUGAAAUCAUAGUACCUGUGAAGAUGCAGGUUACCCGCGACAGGACGGAAAGACCCCGUGGAGCUUUACUGUAGCCUGAUAUUGAAAUUCGGCACAGCUUGU
rnacentral:rRNA from 2 species